CGCAUUCCUGAAUGUUUUGACAUGUGCUGACGUGCAUUGUGAGAUUCGUAAUCCGACAUCAUGCAUAUAGUCCCGGCUGAAUAUAGUCAAUAUACCUUCAUUGUCGCGGCAGAUUUUGUUGCUGUCAUAGUGUCAUGCUUGUGUACAACUUUUAAAGACAAUGAGAUGUAUACUGUAAAAGCAGAUUGGUUAAAAUAACCAAUUUGAAUGGGUUGUUUCAGAUGCGCUUAUUUGACCAAUAUUUUGUGUGUAGAAACACAUGUGCGUUGCAAAUGGUUGCACAAUCUUUGAAAAACCUGCCGACAAAGCAGAAAAUCUUCAAAUGGGGCCGUCCCAUUGCUUUUACCACACAC